UUUAUAAUUUUCAGAUGGUAUCCGUUGUGCUCUGAUGACUGUGCUGGAGAUUGUUGUUGAUAGUUUUAGAUUUAUUGCACGGAAGGAGUUUGUUGUAUCCUGAAGAAUGCUUCAAUAAUGGCUCGGCCUGUUGGCCAAAAGUGCUGGUUCUAAUGGAUAACGGAUUUAUUACGCGGAUCCUGGGAACUGCUUCGAUAUUGGCUCGGCCUGCCGACCAAGUAUACUGGCUCUAAUCGUCAACAGAUUUAUUAGACUGACCGUGCAGGCCCUGGGAUAUCUCACCGUUUUCAAUUCUUUCGUACCCACGGCGUAUUGAACGUUCUGCGCUGUUGAUUUUCGUUAAGACCGUCCUCCCCUCACCAAAAAGAUCGCAAUAAAAAUCUGUCUACAUUGUUGUUAUCGAUCGACCCAGUAACGUCUGGCUGUUGGACACGGAUCGCUGUGCGUUGUUCUCUUUUGGAGCUCAUCGAAAACGCCAGUAGACUUUGACACGGCCACGGCGUUGUCACACGUUGACACCCCGCGGUCGUGUCAGCUCCUUCUCAGCCACCGCUUAACUGUAAACCGGACCGUCACACACACGCGUUAUCGUCGUGGUGUAAAGUCCAACAAAUGCCUAGCGUCGUAUACCCCGCCGCAAU